GUCAGAUUGUGGUGUACAAGGGAGAGAGCCAUAGGGCUUGGUUCAGAAGAGCUUGCUAAGGUACUCAGCUCCCAGCAUUAAAAAAAUGCUGUUGAUAUACCAUUUUGAUUGAAAACACUUCUUUGCAAACCCUAGUCUUGGGAUAGGAGGAAAAUAACAAUGGCUACGAUCACUACAACUGAUUUGCUAUGAUUCUCUCUGCUGAAAUUGAGAUAAAAUUUGCCACAUGCCACUCUGAAAUUGAUUACCUUCCCAACUCAGUCAAUAGCAAAGAACUUGGUCUCACUAAUUCAGAGUGGCUUAGGUCAUGCCUCCCGCUGACAGUGUGACGGAGAAGCCAAAAGGAGCAGCUCUAGGGAGGGGCAGAGAAGGCAGCUCUUUUAUCAGAAUCUUCCUCUUCUUCCCUUAAUGCACAAAUGGACUAGCAAGAUAAAUAAUUGCGUGGAUUAAAGAAGAUGAUAACAUCAAGGAUAUGUCUGAGGUUUCAAAUCUGGUAAAGUUACAAGGAGAUCUUCUCUUUCCUCUUUUGAUGUAUUUCAACAUACCAUGGCUUCUCCACCAUACAAAUAAAAUUGAAGGAGAGUGAAGAACGAGAAACAGUAGACACAGUUAAAUGAUUAUUCACUGAUAGCAGGAGAAUCAGGCAAAUCCCACCACCUGUUUAUGGCCUCCCAACACAGACUCACUGACCAGAGAAACCAUCAGUUGCUGCUACAACAUGGCUUGAUGAGUGGUGUCGGUCUGCACCUGAGAUCCGA